AUGAUGAUAAACAGGCCAUUGUUAGCUGUGUGCUAGGUGAGAACGAGUAAAGACAAUGAGACUCAACACGACAACUUUGAAGCCGGUACGACUUGGGUGAGGUAGGGACGCAGAGAGUGGGAAUGCAAGGGCCACAGAUGCUGCCUGACCUCUAGGUAAAUAUU